UACGGAGGGUGCGAGCGUUAAUCGGAAUUACUGGGCGUAAAGGGUGCGUAGGCGGUUAAUUAUGUCAGAUGUGAAAGCCAGUGGCUCAACCACUGAACUGCAUUUGAAACUGAUUAACUAGAAUAUGAUAGAGGGAAGUGGAAUUUCCAGUGUAGCGGUGAAAUGCAUAGAUAUUGUGAGGAACACCGGUUGCGAAGGCGGCUUUCUGGCCUAUUUCUGACGCUGAGGUGCGAAAGCGUGGGGAGCGAACGGG
rnacentral:rRNA from 1 species